AAUGAACGUUGGCGGCGUGGAUUAGGCAUGCAAGUCGUGCGAGAACCGUAGCAAUACGGGGACAGCGGCGAAAGGGAGAGUAACACGUGGAUACCAACCCUUGGGACUGGGAUAGCUACGGGAAACUGUAGGUAAUACCAGAUGACGUCUCCGGACCAAAGGUGUGAUUCCGCCCGAGGACGGGUCCGCGUUCUAUUAGCUAGUUGGUAGGGUAAUGGCCUGCCAAGGCAAAGAUGGAUACGGGGUGUGAGAGCAUGCCCCCGCUCACUGGGGAUGAGAUACUGCCCAGACGCCUACGGGUGGCUGCAGUCGAGGAUCUUCGGCAAUGGGCGCAAGCCUGACCGAGCGACGCCGCGUGCGAGAUGAAGGCCUUCGGGUUGUAAAUCGCUGUCAGUGGGGAGGAAAUGCCGGUGGGUUCUCCCAUCGGUUUGACCUAUCCGCAGAGGAAGGACGGGCUAAGUUCGUGCCAGCCGCCGCAGUAAGAC
rnacentral:rRNA from 1 species